rnacentral:rRNA from 1 species
AAAAAUUUUAAAAAAAUUAAAUUAGAGUAGUAAUAGGUAUGUUCUUUAAACUUAAAAAAUUUGGCGGUAUUUUAUUCUAUUCAGAGGAACUUGUUUUAUAAUUGAUAAUCCUCAAUAUAUCUUACUUAAUUUAUAUAUAUAAUUUAUAUAUCGUUGUCGAAAAAAUAUCUUAAUAAAGAAAAAAUUUUUAAAAUUAAUAUAAUUUAUUAAUAAUGUCAGAUCAAGGUGUAAUUUAUAAUUAAGAAAAAAUGAGUUACGAAUUAAUUUAUUAAUUAUGGAAAAAUUUUUGAAAUAAAAUUUAGAAAUAGGAUUUGUUAGUAAAUUAUUAAAGAUAAAUA